rnacentral:lncRNA from 1 species
GCUUCUGAUGGUGGAUCUGGUUUGAUCUUCUUCUUCAAUUAUCUUGGAUCUUUUUGAUCUUGAAGAUAGGUCAGAGAAGGAUGCUAGAUGGUAGAGAAAAAUUAGAUGAAGACUCUCUUCUCUUUGAUUUUUUUCUCACCAAAAAAUCCUAGAACAAUUCUAGAUCACUCACCCGAGAGGAGAUAGAUCUCCUCCUUUGCACAUGCCAAGAAGGUAGAAACCCACCCCAAACCUCAUGCCCCA